AACGGUCUAUACCUGCGGUACCUGCGGAAGGAUCAUUACAGAGUUGCAAAACUCCCAAACCAUUGUGAACGUUACCUUCUCGUUGCUUCGGCGGGCGGCCCGGGUCCUUCCCGGCGCCCCCCGGCCCCUCGCGGGCGCCCGCCGGAGGUAAACCAAACUCUUGAAUUGUAUGGCCUCUCUGAGUCUUCUGUACUGAAUAAGUCAAAACUUUUAGCAAUGGAUCUCUAGAUCGGAAGAGCA
rnacentral:misc_RNA from 1 species